UUGCUCAAUUUGGCAGCAUAUAUACUAAAAUUGGAAUAAUAUGAAGAUUAGCAGGGGCCCUGUGCAAGGGUGACACACAAAUUCAUAAAGUGUUGUGUGUGUGU